GCGAUCGUAGGCUAUCGCUGACUACGGAUCAGAAGGUUGGGGGUUCGAGUCCUCCCGGGCGCGCCA
rnacentral:tRNA from 1 species